AACGAACGCUGGCGGCAGGCUUAACACAUGCAAGUCGAGCGGGGGAGGUUGCUUCGGUAACUGACCUAGCGGCGGACGGGUGAGUAAUGCUUAGGAAUCUGCCUAUUAGUGGGGGACAACAUUCCGAAAGGGAUGCUAAUACCGCAUACGCCCUACGGGGGAAAGCAGGGGAUCUUCGGACCUUGCGCUAAUAGAUGAGCCUAAGUCGGAUUAGCUAGUUGGUGGGGUAAAGGCCUACCAAGGCGACGAUCUGUAGCGGGUCUGAGAGGAUGAUCCGCCACACUGGGACUGAGACACGGCCCAGACUCCUACGGGAGGCAGCAGUGGGGAAUAUUGGACAAUGGGCGGAAGCCUGAUCCAGCCAUGCCGCGUGUGUGAAGAAGGCCUUUUGGUUGUAAAGCACUUUAAGCGAGGAGGGGGCUCUUAAGGUUAAUACCCUUGAUGAGUGGACGUUACUCGCAGAAUAAGCACCGGCUAACUCUGUGCCAGCCGCCGCCGUAAAAC
rnacentral:rRNA from 1 species